GACGAACGCUGGCGGCGUGCCUAAUACAUGCAAGUUGAGCGCUGAAGGUUGGUACUUGUCCCAACUGGAUGAGCAGCGAACGGGUGAGUAACGCGUGGGGAAUCUGCCUUUGAGCGGGGGACAACAUUUGGAAACGAAUGCUAAUACCGCAUAAAAACUUUAAACACAAGUUUUAAGUUUGAAAGAUGCAAUUGCAUCACUCAAAGAUGAUCCCGCGUUGUAUUAGCUAGUUGGUGAGGUAAAGGCUCACUAAGGCGAUGAUACAUAGCCGACCUGAGAGGGGGAUCGGCCACAUUGGGACUGAGACACGGCCCAAACGCCUACGGGAGGCAGCAGUAGGGAAUCGUCGGCAAUGGACGAAAGUCUGACCGAGCAACGCCGCGUGAGUGAAGAAGGUUUUCGGAUCGUAAAACUCUGUUGGUAGAGAAGAACGUUGGUGAGAGUGGAAAGCUCAUCAAGUGACGGUAACUACCCAGAAAGGGACGGCUAACUACGUG
rnacentral:rRNA from 1 species